UUGGAGGGCAAGUCUGGUGCCAGCAGCCGCGGUAAUUCCAGCUCCAAUAGCGUAUAUUAAAGUUGUUGCAGUUAAAAAGCUCGUAGUUGAACUUCGGGGUUUACCCAUUGGUCAGGCUUAAUUGUCUGUACUGGUGAGAUAAGUCUCUACCUUCUGAGGAACUUUCAUGUCAUUAAUUUGGUGUGAUUGGAAAUCAGGACUGUUACUUUGAAAAAAUUAGAGUGUUUAAAGCAGGCUAACGUCUGAAUACAUUAGCAUGGAAUAAUGAAAUAGGACGGACUGAUUCUAUUUCGUUGGUUUCUAGGAUCACCGUAAUGAUUAAUAGGGAUAGUUGGGGGCAUUAGUAUUCAAUUGUCAGAGGUGAAAUUCUUGGAUUUAUUGAAGACUAACUACUGCGAAAGCAUUUGCCAAGGAUGUUUUCAUUAAUCAAGAACGAAAGUUAGGGGAUCGAAGACGAUCAGAUACCGUCGUAGUCUUAACCAUAAACUAUGCCGACUAGGGAUCGGACGAAGUUAAUUUUAUAAUGACGCGUUCGGCACCUUACGGGAAACCAAAG
rnacentral:rRNA from 1 species